rnacentral:rRNA from 1 species
CUUGCAGGGUACUCGAGUGGCGAACGGGUGAGUAACACGUUGGUGAUCUGCCCUGCACUUCGGGAUAAGCUUGGGAAACUGGGUCUAAUACCGGAUAGGAACCAUCUUUAGUGUGGUGGUUGGAAAGUUUUUUCGGUGUAGGAUGAGCUCGCGGCCUAUCAGCUUGUUGGUGGGGUAAUGGCCUACCAAGGUGGCGACGGGUAGCCGGCCUGAGGGGGUGUACGGCCACAUUGGGACUGAGAUACGGCCCAG